rnacentral:rRNA from 1 species
GGGUUGUGAGGUUAAGCGACUAAGCGUACACGGUGGAUGCCCUGGCAGUCAGAGGCGAUGAAGGACGUGCUAAUCUGCGAUAAGCGUCGGUGAGGUGAUAUGAACCGUUAUAACCGGCGAUUUCCGAAUGGGGAAACCCAGUGUGUUUCGACACACUAUCAUUAACUGAAUCCAUAGGUUAAUGAGGCGAACCGGGGGAACUGAAACAUCUAAGUACCCCGAGGAAAAGAAAUCAACCGAGAUUCCCCCAGUAGCGGCGAGCGAACGGGGAGGAGCCCAGAGCCUGAAUCAGUGUGUGUGUUAGUGGAAGCGUCUGGAAAGGCGUGCGAUACAGGGUGACAGCCCCGUACACAAAAAUGCACAUGCUGUGAGCUCGAUGAGUAGGGCGGGACACGUGGUAUCCUGUCUGAAUAUGGGGGGACCAUCCUCCAAGGCUAAAUACUCCUGACUGACCGAUAGUGAACCAGUACCGUGAGGGAAAGGCGAAAAGAACCCCGGCGAGGGGAGUGAAAAAGAACCUGAAACCGUGUACGUACAAGCAGUGGGAGCCUCUUAAUGAGGUGACUGCGUACCUUUUGUAUAAUGGGUCAGCGACUUAUAUUCUGUAGCAAGGUUAACCGAAUAGGGGAGCCGAAGGGAAACCGAGUCUUAACUGGGCGUUAAGUUGCAGGGUAUAGACCCGAAACCCGGUGAUCUAGCCAUGGGCAGGUUGAAGGUUGGGUAACACUAACUGGAGGACCGAACCGACUAAUGUUGAAAAAUUAGCGGAUGACUUGUGGCUGGGGGUGAAAGGCCAAUCAAACCGGGAGAUAGCUGGUUCUCCCCGAAAGCUAUUUAGGUAGCGCCUCGUGAAUUCAUCUCCGGGGGUAGAGCACUGUUUCGGCAAGGGGGUCAUCCCGACUUACCAACCCGAUGCAAACUGCGAAUACCGGAGAAUGUUAUCACGGGAGACACACGGCGGGUGCUAACGUCCGUCGUGAAGAGGGAAACAACCCAGACCGCCAGCUAAGGUCCCAAAGUCAUGGUUAAGUGGGAAACGAUGUGGGAAGGCCCAGACAGCCAGGAUGUUGGCUUAGAAGCAGCCAUCAUUUAAAGAAAGCGUAAUAGCUCACUGGUCGAGUCGGCCUGCGCGGAAGAUGUAACGGGGCUAAACCAUGCACCGAAGCUGCGGCAGCGACACUAUGUGUUGUUGGGUAGGGGAGCGUUCUGUAAGCCUGUGAAGGUGGCCUGUGAGGGUUGCUGGAGGUAUCAGAAGUGCGAAUGCUGACAUAAGUAACGAUAAAGCGGGUGAAAAGCCCGCUCGCCGGAAGACCAAGGGUUCCUGUCCAACGUUAAUCGGGGCAGGGUGAGUCGACCCCUAAGGCGAGGCCGAAAGGCGUAGUCGAUGGGAAACAGGUUAAUAUUCCUGUACUUGGUGUUACUGCGAAGGGGGGACGGAGAAGGCUAUGUUGGCCGGGCGACGGUUGUCCCGGUUUAAGCGUGUAGGCUGGUUUUCCAGGCAAAUCCGGAAAACCAAGGCUGAGGCGUGAUGACGAGGCACUACGGUGCUGAAGCGACAAAUGCCCUGCUUCCAGGAAAAGCCUCUAAGCAUCAGGUAACAUCAAAUCGUACCCCAAACCGACACAGGUGGUCAGGUAGAGAAUACCAAGGCGCUUGAGAGAACUCGGGUGAAGGAACUAGGCAAAAUGGUGCCGUAACUUCGGGAGAAGGCACGCUGAUAUGUAGGUGAAGCGACUUGCUCGUGGAGCUGAAAUCAGUCGAAGAUACCAGCUGGCUGCAACUGUUUAUUAAAAACACAGCACUGUGCAAACACGAAAGUGGACGUAUACGGUGUGACGCCUGCCCGGUGCCGGAAGGUUAAUUGAUGGGGUUAGCGGCAACGCGAAGCUCUUGAUCGAAGCCCCGGUAAACGGCGGCCGUAACUAUAACGGUCCUAAGGUAGCGAAAUUCCUUGUCGGGUAAGUUCCGACCUGCACGAAUGGCGUAAUGAUGGCCAGGCUGUCUCCACCCGAGACUCAGUGAAAUUGAACUCGCUGUGAAGAUGCAGUGUACCCGCGGCAAGACGGAAAGACCCCGUGAACCUUUACUAUAGCUUGACACUGAACAUUGAGCCUUGAUGUGUAGGAUAGGUGGGAGGCUUUGAAGUGUGGACGCCAGUCUGCAUGGAGCCGACCUUGAAAUACCACCCUUUAAUGUUUGAUGUUCUAACGUUGGCCCGUAAUCCGGGUUGCGGACAGUGUCUGGUGGGUAGUUUGACUGGGGCGGUCUCCUCCUAAAGAGUAACGGAGGAGCACGAAGGUUGGCUAAUCCUGGUCGGACAUCAGGAGGUUAGUGCAAUGGCAUAAGCCAGCUUGACUGCGAGCGUGACGGCGCGAGCAGGUGCGAAAGCAGGUCAUAGUGAUCCGGUGGUUCUGAAUGGAAGGGCCAUCGCUCAACGGAUAAAAGGUACUCCGGGGAUAACAGGCUGAUACCGCCCAAGAGUUCAUAUCGACGGCGGUGUUUGGCACCUCGAUGUCGGCUCAUCACAUCCUGGGGCUGAAGUAGGUCCCAAGGGUAUGGCUGUUCGCCAUUUAAAGUGGUACGCGAGCUGGGUUUAGAACGUCGUGAGACAGUUCGGUCCCUAUCUGCCGUGGGCGCUGGAGAACUGAGGGGGGCUGCUCCUAGUACGAGAGGACCGGAGUGGACGCAUCACUGGUGUUCGGGUUGUCAUGCCAAUGGCACUGCCCGGUAGCUAAAUGCGGAAGAGAUAAGUGCUGAAAGCAUCUAAGCACGAAACUUGCCCCGAGAUGAGUUCUCCCUGACUCCUUGAGAGUCCUGAAGGAACGUUGAAGACGACGACGUUGAUAGGCCGGGUGUGUAAGCGCAGCGAUGCGUUGAGCUAACCGGUACUAAUGAACCGUGAGGCUUAACCUUACAACGCCGAAG